rnacentral:tRNA from 1 species
GCCGGGGUGGCGGAAUUGGCAGACGCUCCCGACCUUCGGGCCGGGUGUCCCCCAUGGGGGCGUGAAGGUUCGAGACCUUCCCCCGGCACCG